rnacentral:rRNA from 1 species
GAUGAACGCUGACAGAAUGCUUAACACAUGCAAGUCUACUUGAAUUUGGGUUUUUUAACUUAGAUUUGGGUGGCGGACGGGUGAGUAACGCGUAAAGAACUUGCCUCACAGUUAGGGACAACAUUUGGAAACGAAUGCUAAUACCUGAUAUUAUGAAUAUAUGGCAUCAUAUAAUUAUGAAAGCUAUAAGCGCUGUGAGAGAGCUUUGCGUCCCAUUAGCUAGUUGGAGAGGUAACGGCUCACCAAGGCGAUGAUGGGUAGCCGGCCUGAGAGGGUGAACGGCCACAAGGGGACUGAGACACGGCCCUUACUCCUACGGGCGGCAGCAGUGGGGAAUAUUGGACAAUGGACCAAGAGUCUGAUCCAGCAAUUCUGUGUGCACGAUGACGUUUUUCGGAAUGUAAAGUGCUUUCAGUUGGGAAGAAAAAAAUGACGGUACCAACAGAAGAAGUGACGGCUAAAUACGUG